rnacentral:rRNA from 1 species
UACAGAGGGUGCGAGCGUUAAUCGGAAUUACUGGGCGUAAAGCGUGCGUAGCCGGUUACGUAAGUCGGAUGUGAAAUCCCCGGGCUCAACCUGGGAAUUGCAUUCGAGACUGCGCAGCUGGGGUGCGGAAGAGGGAAGCGGAAUUUCCGGUGUAGCGGUGAAAUGCGUAGAUAUCGGAAGGAACAUCAGUGGCGAAAGCGGCUUCCUGGUCCAGCACCGACGUUCAGGCACGAAAGCGUGGGGAGCAAACAGG